rnacentral:tRNA from 1 species
GCCCGCCUGGCGGAAUGGUAGACGCAGCGGACUUAAAAUCCGCAGUCCGCAAGGGCAUGGGGGUUCGAAUCCCCCGGCGGGCA